ACAUGCUAAAACUUUUCUGGUAGGACACAACCUCGUGGUGAUACACAAAUUAAUAGAAACGGGUUAAAUCAAAAUGUGAGUGUUAGCCAGUAAGAGGCUAGAGCUAAUGUGACAAGCAGUGAUUUAAUUAAUACAAUUUCUGUGUGGUUAUUUCAGGGCUAAGCUAGCUGGGAGGUUGGGACAAACAAGCCGUCUCCUUACAACAGAUCUGGAACUUGAAGUAUGCCAAGGGAAAGAGAGCUCCAGACCUGGUAGUAGCCAUGUGUGGCUACAUAGACCUUGAACUUUAUCUACCAUUCUGUAGGAAAUGUUUUUUUUUUUUUAUUUCAUUCUUACUAAACUCAACUUUAAACUCUACACACGUGUUGAACAGCACAGAUCUGCACAUACAAUGGGUAGGAAAAAUAGACUAUUACAGCCAUAGUUAAGUAGCUUUAAUGGUAUAACUGACUUUAGACACAAACUGAUAUUCUCUAUUAAAAUGAGGUUGGUCAUGUUUCUGUAGAACUUAUUUGAAGAUGAUGAUUCCCUAACAAAAGUGACGUCAACCAUGUCAUCAUCACCUGUUCUCCCCAUAAAGAUAAAAUCUUCCCAUAAUAAUUUGGAAGCUUUUAAUUGCCAUGUUGCUGUUGAUACAGCUAUAGACAGGCCUGUGAACCUAGACUGUAAGAUUUUGAUACCUAUCACAGAGGUGAAUGUGUUUGACUCUUCUGAGAUGUACUUAGCAUAAACCUUCAGUUUGGUGUCUUCUUUGUACGUCACUACAGUUGAAAACAUUAAAGUAUGAAAUCACCAGAAAAAGGGUUGUCACACAUGAGACCAUUGACUCCAAAGACAAACAUGGAGGAAAUGUUUUUUUUUUAAUAUGGAUAUGAUAUAUUCUUUCAAGGAAGUUGUUCAGAGCAUCUUUUAAAAAUAGCUCAUUUACUCGUUCUAUCAAGGUAUCUCUUUCAUUACUCUCCUCCCCUAUAUCUCCCCCAGACUUUAUUGACUCCCCAAGGGACGACUUACUCCAUCUGAGGAAUGGAUGAGGGACAGGAAACACGAGGCAGGAGAAGGGGAGGGAGGUGGAACUGGGGUUGGUAUGUAAAUAAUAACUCAUCUAGCUGAGCAGUACUGGGGCAUGCCUGUAAUCCCAACAUGCUGGAGGCAGAGGCAGGCAAAUCUCUGUGAGUUUGAGGCCAGCGUGGUCUACAGUGUGAGUUCCAGGACACUCAAACAGAGGAACCCUGUCUCAAAAUAACAAACAAACAAAACCUCAUUUAAAAAAUCAGAAACUAGAACAGGCUUUAGAAAUUCCCAAAACCGCCUAGCAGUGGUGGAGCAUUCUGGAGGCUAAGGCAGGAGGAUCUCUGAGUUUGAAGCUAGCCUGGUCUAUAGAGUUCCAGGGCAGCCAGGGAUACACAGAUAAACCCUGUCUCAGGAGGGAGGCUGGAUAAGAAAAGAACAAAAAAAGGAGAGAGAGAGAGAGAGAGAGAAGAGAAGAGAAGAGAAGAGAAGAGAAGAGAAGAGAAGAGAAGAGAAGAGAAGAGAAGAGAAGAGAAGAGAGAAGUUAACAACACUAGACCUUGGAAUGUGUAGAGCCUCUUGUUCUUUAGAAGCCCCAAGGACCUGGGGUAAGUUCUUCAUAACUGUAGAGGUCUCAGAGGGUAACACGGUGUGAGCUUUCUACAGUCUCUUGCCCCUCAGUCACACCAAAACCUAAACUUGAAUUAAGCUACUGUCACCCUGAGAGCUUCUUGCCAGACAGGUCCAGUGACAGCUAAUCCCGCCUUGGGCCUCAAGCACUGGCAACAUUUGAAAAUUGUAGGGUUUCAUGGGCUCUUUCUGAGUUCUCACUGCGUCUGUGACUGUCCCGUUGUAGCAAGGCCUACGGAAACUGAGAUAUUGCUUGGUAACCAUAGAAAUACACACACUGGCCAGUAUCACAUCGACUGUUGCUUCAAGGAUGGUAUGUGGGCCACAUUCCAACACUUCAGUUUAGAGGAACUUGUUUUGUAAGGCUUGUGAGAGAUAUUAAAGAUUCCUUGUUCUUGAUUAAAAAAAAUAAACCUACUCACUGUGUAUGUCUGCAUGGAUAUGUGUAAUGAAAACAUUUAUUAUCUGUGUUCACAGAUAAUAUGUCUACCUAAAUCUAUUACUAACAAUUUCUUCUACAUAUCUGCCCUCUCUACCAGAUGACAAGCUUCUAGAAGUCUUUCUUACUCCAGUUUUCAAAUCCCCCUCUCCCAUUUCUCUUCCCGCAAUUAUGUGCCUCUAGAAGCUGGAUUGUUCAGAUCCAGUCUAGGAGAUUCUGUUGAUUUAGGUCAACUUGGAACCGUGGUUUCCUUUUGUAUUCAUUUUGCCUGUGUGCAUGUUAGCGCUCCCUGCUACAGUUUCAGCCCCAAGAUGCUCCCUAUUUACUGUCUAUGGAUUUCACCCGAGGUUGCUGCCAAAAAGCCGAUGUCAAGCUUUUCAGGCAAAUCACUUAUCCAGCCAUCCUGGCUAAAACGGGUAGCAUGUGACCUAUCAAAAGGAAUCAGCGAUUAUGCUGUUCAAUAUAGUAUAUAAAUUUAAGUUUGCAAAAUUUAAGCUAAAAGUUUGACAAGGUUUUAACCAAAAAUUCUAUUUCCUAGUCCCUCAGGCCAGUAUUUCGUAGCCACUUAUCAGUGAUGAGUACCACUGUGGAGAGUGCAGACCUUAUAGUAGUUCCAGAAACUUCUUUGUGUCUUUAUUUAAAAAGAGGCUAGAGGCUAGAGAGAUGGCUCAUGGGUUAAGAACAGUAGCUGCUAUUCCAGAGGACUGUGGCCUGACUCCCGGCACACACACAUGGAGGCUCACAACUGUAUGGAAUUCCAAUCACAGGAGCUCUAUCGCCCCCUUCUGGUUACUAUAGGCACUGCAUGCAGGCAAAAUAACCAUACAUAUAAUGGAUAAAUGAAUAAAUACGCUUAAAAAUAAAAAUACAGAAUAUUAGAAGGCUAAUAAGAAGUCUCAAAAAUGUCAGCUGUAUGCAUUUGUUAAGUGGUGGGGGAAAGAAGGAGAGAAAAGGAAGCUAAUAACUCAUCUUUCUCCCACAACCCACAACUUCCAUUUUCCCGCUUGUUGACAUGGUCUUAUGAGAACAUGCUACCUCAACAUGAAACAUGUGUUUUAUGACCAGAAAACAAAAAAAAAAAACUCAAAGAAAACUUCAAAAUCAUAGAAGAAUGUUGAAGGACAGAAGGCAUUCAGCUCACUGAGACCGUGGUUGAACUGUCAAUCACGCCUCUGGACUUCUUUCUCUCAAUGGGGUCCUUUGAAGAAGGAAUUCUCUUCAUUGUGAGGAUUUAUAAAUAUAAGCAAUAAAGUGAGACAUAUUUGUUCUUGGCAGCACCAAUAGCUUCAAGAGGAAGAUGGGCACCAAAGAGGUUCCUCAUGGAGUUUGCUAGCCAUUUGGGAAAAAAAAAAUCCUGCUCUUGCCUGGACUGCUUGAUGUUAUAUUGUAAGAAGUGAACAUUCAGGACCCACAGAAAAAUGACUGCUGAACUUGCCUAAAGUUUGAACAUGGGAGAUCUCUUCGUUUCCUGUUCCAGCCUCCACGCCUCCACUCUACCAACAUGGAUGUGUAUCCCUCUUGAACCAAUUUUCAUCCAGUAACCAUGGAAACAGAUGCAGAGUUCCACAAUCAAGCAAAAGGCCGAGCUCUGGAAAUCCAGUUGAAGAGAGGGAGGAGAGAACAUAUGAUCAAGAGAAGUCAAGGUCAUGACGGAGAAAUCUACAGAGACAGCUGAACCAAGCUCAUAGGAACUCAUGAACUCUAAACCAACAGCUGUGGAAUCUCCACAGUACCAAACUCAGCCUUCUGUAUGUGAGGGACAGUGGUGAAGCUUGGCCUAUCUGCAGGGUCCCUGGUAGUAGGACCAGGAUCUAUCCCUGGCACAUGAAAUAGUUUGUUGAACCCCAUUCCCUGUGGUGGGAUGUUAUGCUCAGCCUUAAUAUAGAGAGGAGGGGCUUGGUCCUGCCUGAACUUAAUGUGCCAGACUUUGUUGACUCCCCAUUGAAGCUCUUACCCAUUGGGAAGAGUGGAUGAGGUAUAGGCUGGGGUGGGUACGUGAGAUAGGAUGGGAGGAAAGGUGGGAGGGAAA